CGCCGCCGCUGCAGCGGCCGCCGAGCGUCCCUCCCGCAGGCUGUGGCGGGCGGCGGGACGGGUUGCAUCAGCCCCGGCUAUAUAGCGGCCCCUGGGCGGCGGGGAGGGGUCGGGAAUGCGGAACCCGCCGAGCUGCCAGCUCCAGACGUCAGAGGGGGGACGGAGAGGAAGGGAAGGAGGGGACAGGGGAGAGCGGGGGGUGUGGAUCCGGCGCUUCACACCCACUGACCUUCACCUCCCCCGCCGCCUUUCGCGCCCUCCUCCUGCCGCUCCUCGCGCUGCGCUCCCGGCCCGGCCGGGCCCGGCCCCGCGGCGGCCGCCGGGGCUGCAUCGCGCUGCGCGGCUCUCCCGGCCCGCGGUGCAGGCGCGCGCGAGAAAGCAGGACGCGGCGAGCGGUUAUGGUCACCAAGUGAGCAGAGCCAGCCCUCCGCAGACCCCCCAAGGGCCUUGUCACCACGGCGACUUCGGCAUCUGGGGCCCCACCUUCUCGCCGUCCUAAGAGGCAGCUGGGGAAGCAGGAUUCCAGAGGAAAUACGACGCUAGAGUUCCCUCCAGGGGGUACAGGUGCAAAGACACAGCAGCCCGCAGGCAGAAAUGUGGCCCGGGACCGCGGCACCGUGGCGGCCUCUCCCAUCUCCAGACCCCCUGGUGCCAACCACCCCCUGCCUUUCUGCCUGAGCCAAGGAGGGGUUGGUGAUGUUAUCCACAGUGACCUUCAGCUUCCUUCUCAGAGCGAUGUCAGGUCAUCACCCAGAGAAGAAAGGAAGUGAAAGAAAAAGAUCAUGCCUUCUUGGAGUGCAGAUGCUCAGAGUGAAAGAAACGGCAAGACUUGAGGCAGAUGGGUGCGAGUGAGCCAGGCGGGGGCCCCUGUCCCUUCAGUGAGAGGACAGUCAGGUUUUACUCUCCUCCUUCCCCAAGGCAGUGACCGCUCUCCGGAUAAGAGGAUUGACCUCUCCUGACCAUCUUCACCUUCAAGGCCCCAAAAGAAUAACCUCCAUUGGAAAGUGAGUAGUAAUUUGGAAGUCUCGUGCUCAGCCCAAAAAGGCCAACUUACACUUUUACUGCAGUAUAAAGAUCAAAGCCUUAUGAUGUUCUGUGUGUCGUCCUCCCACCCCGAGACUAAGGGCUGGAUGUUUAUAUGGAAGAAAAUACUGAACAGGGGGAACUCUGCUUCAUGCGUCUUCAGUUGGGACUUUGAAACAGCUAAACUACUCUAUGUGCAGGAACUAAUAAUUGGGUGUGUGGUGAGAGCAGGUCCUCUCCAGGACCUAUUUUAGACCAUGCCAGGGCCACCAACAAGUCUACUGGGCCUUUGCCUUCCCCAGCACAAAGUAAAUAUGCUACAGGGGUGGUCGGUGGGGGCACCAAGGAAUGGCUUGGGAGUCUUUAUUUUUAUUUAUUUUUAAAUUAUUUAUUUUUAUUACGUUCAGAAAAUAUGAGGUCCCCAUAUACUCCCUACCCCCCUCACCUCACUCCUCCCCGCAUAGCAACAACCUCCUCCAUCAUCAUGAGACAUUCAUUGCAUUUGGUGAAUACAUCUCUGAGCACCGCUGCACCUCAUGGUCAAUGGUCCACAUCAUAGCCCACACUCUCCCACAUUCCAUCCAGUGGGCCAUGGGAGGACAUACAAUGUCCAGUAAUUGUCCCUGCAGCACCACCCAGGACAACUCCAAGUGGCUUGGGAGUCUUUAGCCCCCUCCAUCUUCUGUAAUAUGGGUUGGGCCUCCCCCAUUAUUUGAUAUGGAUGUUUUUCAAUGUUACGUAAAAUGCUAUGCAAACACAGCUUGGCGACCUUCCUUCCAACCCUCUACCAGGCCCCUCUCUAUAAUCACUGCACUGGGAGUGGCUGCAGGUAGAGCCUGUUACUGACUCCUUUAUGGAGAGACUGGCUUGCUUCUUCCUUCGUUGCUGGAUGGAACCCAUCUACCCCUAGCUCUAGGGACAAACACGUGACCCAGCCCUGACCAAUAACUACAUUCCAUCCCCAGUUCUAGUGGGACUAAUUCAGAGAUCGCCACGAUUCCCAAGUAAAUCUGAUGAGACUGAAUUCUAGGAAUCUGGGGCAUCUGCUGGGAAGAGAGAAUCUCUUCCCACUGGACCUGAAGCUGCUGGAAGCUGCCACGUGGAGCAGGUCUAUUUGAGCACGACACCAAUGCAGAGAAGAGUAGAGAACAGUAGAGCCCAGCAAGAGAGGGAAGACAGAUCAAAGCCUGAGGACAUUGUCUGAGUUCCUGAAGCCAGCUUUGCCUAAUAUAAUUACUAUCUGUGGAGUUUUUAGCUACAGGAAUUGGUAAAUUAUGUCUUGCCUACAGCAGUUUGAAUUUAAGUUUCCGUUUACUUGCAGCUAGUAAAGUCCUGAUUAAGACACAGCAUUUUGCAUCUCUAGCUUAUUUGGACUAUUAUAUUUUAAAGUUUAAUGGACAUUGAUGAUCCCAAGCUCUUUGCCAAGAGGGAAAAGUGAAAUGGCGAAGUAAAAUAAUUAAUUCCCCAGGCCUCUUCCUUUAGUAUCAAAGGAGAAAGUGACAAUUCUGAGUAACCAACUAACCACCUUGUAUUUGUACAAUAUUGGUUGAAAAUCUAUUGUGUCUGGAACCAAGAGAUACACAAAAUUUAAGGCGUGAUUCCUCAUCUGUCCUCACCUCCCAUCUAAUUAGGGUUGAUAAACUUCAGCACUGGUGAACAAGACCAGAGGGUAAUUAGAAACUAGUUAUGUGCACGAUAUAAAAAUCGUUUGUUAAUGGCUCCAUUCUCUACUUGGUUAAACUUUGUAGACCAAAAAUUACAAACAAAUAGUUGGAAGACUGAAUUUGGUUUUGCUGACUCAACCUAAAACUUUUUUUUUUAGGGGGUAAUGGGGAUUGAACCCAGGCCUUGUACAUGGGAAGCAGGGACUCAACCACAGAGCUACAUCAACUCCCCAAACUUUUUUUUUAAAUAUAUCAAAGAUUUUACACAAAAAUCUGGAUUUCCAUCCUCCCUUGGAAAAAAAUCAAAGUCAGGCCACAUUGGACAUAUGGAAUAGUCCAGACAAGCUAGGUUGUGCUACGUUAACAAUCAUCCCCAAAAACUCAGCGGCUUAACACAAGAAAGGUUUCUUUCUCACUCACAUAAGACAGCUGUGGGUGUCAUAUGCCUUUCCAGGGCACCUACAGGUCAUAGCUCAGUAUCGUCCCUCCAUAUCAACAAAUGCACCCAAGGUCUCCAUGACAGAGAAAGAAAGCAAAACAGAGAGAGCCAAGUACAAGUCGUUAAAGGUUUCCAAUCCUGGAAUGACACACGUCACUUUAGUUCAUAUUCGAUUGGCCAAAGCAAGUCACAUGGCAGUUCCUAAUUUAAAAGGGUCAAGGAAGUUCAGUCUUCUCAUGCACUAUGAAGAAGAAGGGAACUAUGUAUUAGGGAAUCAUUAACAUCUGCCACAGAAUGCUCUCUUCUGGCAACAGUGAGCUAGAACCAUGAGAAGCUGCUCCCUUAAAUAGGACUUAAACAGUCCAGUUAGACACAGUGUCCAUUCACCCUGCUUCAUAGGUUUAUGUGGGCUCUCUGGCACCUGGAAGCACUGCAUUUUGCAUUUGCUGAUAUUGACAAAGCCAAGUUCAAUAUCAGUCCUACAGGUGUCCCUGGUGAUCCAUGGAAUUAUCAUGAUUUUUCCAAAAACAGUUCAUUUUGAUUUGCUAAUUUAAACAAACGUGUGCUAUAGAGAACUCUUAGGAUGAAGAGCAGGAUGGUCUCAGGAAAUCAAACAAGGAGGAGCUGAGACUAACUGCAGUAUAUCCUGCAAAUUACACGUACCUGUUUAUUAUGGGUUCUUCCUUCUGCUCUUCCCUUGAUCAAUCACACAGCUACCUGGAAAGACCAGGAGAAAAGACCCUCCCACUUACUUACUCUCUUCCUGAGGGAGGUGGGGAGAAGAUACAUGGUGGUGAUUUGGGGGAGUAGGCUGUUUGAAAUCGCAUGGAUUAGAUAGAUAGCUGUUCAAGGCUG
ensembl:lincRNA